UCUAGCUACAGGCUUAACACAUGCAAGUCGAGGGGCAUCAGGAAGAAAGCUUGCUUUCUUUGCUGGCGACCGGCGCACGGGUGAGUAACACGUAUCCAACCUGCCCUUUACUCGGGGAUAGCCUUUCGAAAGAAAGAUUAAUACCCGAUAGCAUAAUGAUUCCGCAUGGUUUCAUUAUUAAAGGAUUCCGGUAAAGGAUGGGGAUGCGUUCCAUUAGGUUGUUGGUGAGGUAACGGCCCACCAAGCCUUCGAUGGAUAGGGGUUCUGAGAGGAAGGUCCCCCACAUUGGAACUGAGACACGGUCCAAACUCCUACGGGAGGCAGCAGUGAGGAAUAUUGGUCAAUGGGCGCUAGCCUGAACCAGCCAAGUAGCGUGAAGGAUGAAGGCUCUAUGGGUCGUAAACUUCUUUUAUAUAAGAAUAAAGUGCAGUAUGUAUACUGUUUUGUAUGUAUUAUAUGAAUAAGGAUCGGCUAACUCCGUGCCAGCAGCCGCGGUAAUACGGAGGAUCCGAGCGUUAUCCGGAUUUAUUGGGUUUAAAGGGAGCGUAGGUGGACUGGUAAGUCAGUUGUGAAAGUUUGCGGCUCAACCGUAAAAUUGCAGUUGAUACUGUCAGUCUUGAGUACAGUAGAGGUGGGCGGAAUUCGUGGUGUAGCGGUGAAAUGCUUAGAUAUCACGAAGAACUCCGAUUGCGAAGGCAGCUCACUGGACUGCAACUGACACUGAUGCUCGAAAGUGUGGGUAUCAAACAGGAUUAGAUACCCUGGUAGUCCACACAGUAAACGAUGAAUACUCGCUGUUUGCGAUAUACAGUAAGCGGCCAAGCGAAAGCAUUAAGUAUUCCACCUGGGGAGUACGCCGGCAACGGUGAAACUCAAAGGAAUUGACGGGGGCCCGCACAAGCGGAGGAACAUGUGGUUUAAUUCGAUGAUACGCGAGGAACCUUACCCGGGCUUAAAUUGCAGUGGAAUGAUGUGGAAACAUGUCAGUGAGCAAUCACCGCUGUGAAGGUGCUGCAUGGUUGUCGUCAGCUCGUGCCGUGAGGUGUCGGCUUAAGUGCCAUAACGAGCGCAACCCUUAUCUUUAGUUACUAACAGGUUAUGCUGAGGACUCUAGAGAGACUGCCGUCGUAAGAUGUGAGGAAGGUGGGGAUGACGUCAAAUCAGCACGGCCCUUACGUCCGGGGCUACACACGUGUUACAAUGGGGGGUACAGAAGGCAGCUAGCGGGUGACCGUAUGCUAAUCCCAAAAUCCUCUCUCAGUUCGGAUCGAAGUCUGCAACCCGACUUCGUGAAGCUGGAUUCGCUAGUAAUCGCGCAUCAGCCACGGCGCGGUGAAUACGUUCCCGGGCCUUGUACACACCGCCCGUCAAGCCAUGGGAGCCGGGGGUACCUGAAGUACGUAACCGCAAGGAUCGUCCUAGGGUAAAACUGGUGACU
rnacentral:rRNA from 1 species